AUUAAAGACGGGUUUGGGUUUCGUAGGCUGUCAUCCUUUUAUCAUGACUACAGAUUAUAAUUAGACUCUCUACUGUCCAUAGACUGUAACUAAAGAGGAGCACAAUAACAUGUAAAAGAAACAGUCGGAUGAUAUCGGAGACAGUCGCAGGUCGAGUACAGACUUCUGUCCACUAGAUAUUGACCAAUGUGGAUCUUCAAAAAGCUUCUUGGUUUAAUAUUUGGAUGUUUUGUCUAAUAUGAAUCAGUGUUUAAUAUAUAAAUACAUUAUAAAGAGCUUCUUAAUCUUUAUUAAACUGGGAAUAAAAAUCCAAUUCCUGCAGAGAUAUCUUGGAUAUGAAAAAGUCAAUUUACAUUCCCAAUGAUUUUCUCGAAUACAGUUUGAAAUACUUGAACUCUGUGAGCUCACAUCUAACCAAUUAAAUCUGACUGAAAUGUUAGAGAGAGAGAGAGAGAGAGAGGGAGGGAGAGGGAGAGGGAGAGAGGAGACAGACACAAAUGUCAGAGAUGAGAAAAAAAAGAACUAAAACAGCUUAAUUGCAGUAUUGUCCUUCACUUUUCUCUGUUUGACACGGAAGGAAAAGACAGAGUUAUUUUUAUCAGCUGGUAUUAACUUUCAGAGGAAAAUAAAACACCUCUUGACCAGCUGAGGCGAGCUAAAAAAGAACACGCUGCCGUAUAAUGUCGGUUUGUUGGUUAGUUAGUGUUAAGUAUUUUUUUAAUUUUCUUUAGUCUCGACCAUCUCUGGAUUUUUAGAGGACAGAAGAAGAGUCACAACAAAGACAGAAUUAUAUAUCAAACAUGCUAACUGAAGGACCCUGAUGUUUUCUUAUUGUUUUGCUUUUUUCAGUCACAUUUUUGGACCUUUAUUGCCCCCGUCCAGACGACGGAGUAGGAAGCGACAGGCAGGGAAAGAGCCACCAGCUGCAGAGACAUACUGCAGAUAUGUUAAAGCUCCUGUGUGGAGAUUUUGGACGUCUGUGAAAUCGGCUGAAAUUCAUAUUGAUGCUUUUUCAUGACGUCCAAAAGCAAACAAGAUCAUGAGAGACAAGAUUGAGGAUUUUUAUAUAGUUUUUAAUGUCUGUAACUGGUGGAAGGGGUAAUAGAUAAAUUUGACUGCCAAAAGUCAUUUACCAGAUGAGAUAAGCAAAGACUAGUUUGUCCACAGGGGGCGCCAGUGUUACACAAACUGAAAGUUCCUCACGGGAGCUUUAAGAAACAUGAUAGGAAUAGUCAUUUAAUUGUUCUAAGUGUGUUCAGGGUCAUUUCAGCAUCAUUACAUUCAGGAAAAUAGCGGAAUAACCCUUUAAAAAUGACCUGUAUCUUAUUUUGAAAAGUACAUAACCAAUUUACAUGAUUUCCUGUAAAAAAAAGUAAAGAUUCAUGUACACUUUCACGACUGUAAAACUAAUCCAGUUAAAAAACAACAAAGCAGACUUAUAUACCAAACAUGCCUACUAAAGCCCAGUGAUGUUUACUUUUUGUUUUGCUUUUUUUGUUUUUUAUGUCCAAAAGCAAACAAGAUCUUCAGAGACAAGAUUGAGGAUUUUUAUAUAGUUUUUAAUGUCUGUAACUGGUGGAAGGGGUAAUAGAUAAAUUUGACUGCCAAAAGUCAUUUACCAGAUGAGAUAAGCAAAGACUAGUUUGUCCACAGGGGGCGCCAGUGUUACACAAACAGGAGCUUUUAUAGGAAUAGUCAUUAGAUUGUUCUCAUUGAGUUCAGGGUCACUUCAGCAUCAGAAAAAUAGUGGAAUAACCCUUUAAAAAUGACCUGUCUCUUAUUUUGAAAAGUACAGAACCCAUUUAUAUGAUUUCCUUUAUAAAAAAGUAAAGAUUCAUGUGCACUUUCACGACUGUAAAACUAAUCCAGUUAAAAAACAACAAAGACAGAAUUAUAUAUCAAACAUACAAACUAAAGGACACGAGCUGUCUGAUCCAUGAUCAACCUGACACCUUUUGGAUCAAAGUUUGAAAACCUCUGCCUGUCAAUACGAGGAUCCAAAAAUACCUGCAGUUACAUCAACAGAGGGUGUCAAACAUAAAUGGGACCUUUAUCAGCAUCACUGCCAUUUCAGGGAAUUACUCAAAAUAGCUGUGAAACUUGAUUUAAUGCUGUUUAGGCUGAUUCGCGAUUGAUUCGCCCAGAGCCUGUACAAGAAUUAAACACAGUAAAUCAUUUUUAAUCUUAUUAAGUCUGCAGGCCUUUAUCAGCGGCAAUAACUCACAUCAUUUAGACUCAGAUACUCGCAUAACAGAGUCUGACUCUCUCUGAUAACUCUCUGUGUUGUCUGUCCUGGACUUUAUCCCGCAACACUGACUGUAUGUGAGGUGUUAACACUCAAGGUUAACCUGAUCUCCGCUCCUCAAAGCGUCCAGAACAGACAGCGAAGAUGAAUCGAAGCCUCUCAGAGCUGAUAUGACAAGAGGUUAAUUCUCCCACUGUUGUAAAAAGACACUUUUCAGAGCUUGUUUUUGUCAAUAAUAAAUAAAACGCCGACUUUCUCGACACUUCCAGGAGUGCCAGCAGUGACUUCCAAAGAAUGUGGGCACUCGUUCUGUCCGGGAGCUUACGGGGGCGAGAAAAACUCAAAACAAACAUCCAAAGAAUGUACAAACUCGGCUUCCCGUUCAGCUCCACUUCUCGAUGGGAUCUGAUCAGAUAAAAAGAAUUCAGGUCUCAGGAAACAUCUGCUUGUGUAACUUGGACGAAUUUGACAUUUCUCAAAAUCAAAUUUAUGAUUUCAUCUCCUCUUCAGGUUCAUGAACCUGCCGCUAAAGUUCACAAACAUGAGUUAGGUUUUCCAUCUUCUCUCUCCACGUGUGAGCCGAGUCUUUUUAUGCAAAAGGCAGCUACAGGUGGCUUUAAAAAAAAGGGAAAAAAGCACUAACAAGACAUAUGUUUGUCACAUUUUGUUACAGCUGAGGAUCACAGUGAAAGCGAAAUCUGUUGGAGUUGUAUCCCGGAAAAUCCUCGAGCAGCCAGGUAUGAGAGUUGCAGCCAUGUGAGUGAGGAAAAGCUCAUCA